rnacentral:rRNA from 1 species
UAUACAUGCAGUCGAACGCUUCUUUUUCCACCGGAGCUUGCUCCACCGGAAAAAGAGGAGUGGCGAACGGGUGAGUAACACGUGGGUAACCUGCCCAUCAGAAGGGGAUAACACUUGGAAACAGGUGCUAAUACCGUAUAACAAUCGAAACCGCAUGGUUUUGAUUUGAAAGGCGCUUUCGGGUGUCGCUGAUGGAUGGACCCGCGGUGCAUUAGCUAGUUGGUGAGGUAACGGCUCACCAAGGCCACGAUGCAUAGCCGACCUGAGAGGGUGAUCGGCCACAUUGGGACUGAGACACGGCCCAAACUCCUACGGGAGGCAGCAGUAGGGAAUCUUCGGCAAUGGACGAAAGUCUGACCGAGCAACGCCGCGUGAGUGAAGAAGGUUUUCGGAUCGUAAAACUCUGUUGUUAGAGAAGAACAAGGAUGAGAGUAACUGUUCAUCCCUUGACGGUAUCUAACCAGAAAGCCACGGCUAACUACGUGCCAGCAGCCGCGGUAAUACGUAGGUGGCAAGCGUUGUCCGGAUUUAUUGGGCGUAAAGCGAGCGCAGGCGGUUUCUUAAGUCUGAUGUGAAAGCCCCCGGCUCAACCGGGGAGGGUCAUUGGAAACUGGGAGACUUGAGUGCAGAAGAGGAGAGUGGAAUUCCAUGUGUAGCGGUGAAAUGCGUAGAUAUAUGGAGGAACACCAGUGGCGAAGGCGGCUCUCUGGUCUGUAACUGACGCUGAGGCUCGAAAGCGUGGGGAGCAAACAGGAUUAGAUACCCUGGUAGUCCACGCCGUAAACGAUGAGUGCUAAGUGUUGGAGGGUUUCCGCCCUUCAGUGCUGCAGCUAACGCAUUAAGCACUCCGCCUGGC